rnacentral:tRNA from 1 species
GGGGCAGUAGCUCAGAUGGUAGAGCAGUGAUGACUUUCCGCUAUUGGCAGACAAAGUUCCUAUUGUGCGUGUCACAGGUUCGAUUCCUGUCUGCUCCA